CAGUGAUAGGAAGCCUAAUGAGUCAGGGCAGCAGCCUUCAUGCAACUGUGGCCAUUUAACCCUAAUGUUUGAGUUUCAACUGUAGAGAUGAGCAGUGGAAGGAAGCUAUUUGAAAAAGCUUAGAUGGAAGUGGGAGCUGUGUCAUGAUAUUGGAAUAGAACAUGCAGUGAUGGAUGGCUUGUCUUCUUCCUUCCAAACCCUCGAUGCUCUGUCUUUUCCAAGGACUGUCACUGGAUCAUGGCAAUGAGUGAUAUACUUUCUCUUCCUUGGAAAAGUCAGAGAGCCAGGACACAGUAUAGCUAAACCCUUUAUCUUGGAGGUGGCCUCAUUAAUUCAGAGUGGGCCCAGAUGCUGAGAGAAGCCUCUGAACAGUCAGCAUUCUUUUUUUUUUUUUGGUUCUUUUUUUUCCCCCGGAGCUGGGGACUGAACCCAGGGCCUUGCGCUUCCUAGGCAAGCGCUCUACCACUGAGCUAAAUCCCUAACCCCAACAGUCAGCAUUCUUAUACAAGGAAAUUUGUAUGAUACAUUUUAAAGAACUCUGUUAGUAGCUGCUAGAGAUUUUCAGCACCGUAAACAUAAUCCCACCAUCCCCCAUUUGGAGCCAGUAGCAAGAAAGCAGGAACUAAGGGGCUGGAAGAGAAUUGCUUGUCAUCCCUCAGCUACACAGUGAAGGAGCCAGGAUUUGAACCUGCAUCUGCAUGGCCCUUUCAACAGGCACCUGCUUCUUACAUGAGCUCCAGGGCUUUAUUGGUCCAGUUUGGGUGCCAUAUUUGCUCACUUCCAAAAGUCCUAUUUUGUGCUAGUCAGAUUCAUUUAAAAUUAAUUUUGAUUCUCACAGUUUUAGGAAACUGUGUGGAUUGGAAAGGCGAGGAUGCCAAGAUUAGGGAUUUCUGUUUCCAAGGAUAGAAGUAUGUCUUCGAAGAUGUCCAAUAGUCAAACCGUGCUUUGAGGACAUAGGACCAGGGAUAUCUUUACUUAUUUAAAGCAUCUUUACAAUAUAGGAUACUAGGCUUCUUCUCUGUCCAGUGUGAAAUUGCUGGACCCAUGUUUUGUUAGAUUCCCUAGGUCAGGAGGCAUGAGUGUAGGGAUCAGGCUCCUUUCCACUGGUUCUGCAUUAGCCUCCUGCAGGAACUCUUUGUUCUACUCAGUCAUUUAAAAGUCAAUUUAUCUCCAUUCCCCUCUUUCUCUUCACCUUCAAUGGGGAAGCAAGGCCACCAUCCCUCCACAUUCAAUUUCAACACCGGAAAAUGUGGCUCCCUGCACCAUCAUUGAUUGAUUUACAAAGUUUAGAGAAAGGGACAUCUUAUGGGGGGGAGGGUCAACACUCUUCACUCUGUUUCUCAGGCUAGCCUGUCCACAGGAAGAAAGAUUUCUUCAUACACACCAUCUUCCAUUCAGGACACUAGCUGUAAGAUGCUCCAAGCUUCACAAAGAUGUUUUGAGGCCUCAUCUCUAACUCUUCACUUGGCAUCAUCAAUCUAGGAUGCUGACACUCUGCAGUGAUAACAACCGUUUCCUGUGAAGCUCAACUCUGCCUGGGUUUUUGCUCCAACAUCUAAAUUAGUUAGAUGGGAUUCCAUUGAUCUUAGGUUCAACCAAGAUCAUUUAAUCGAUCUUUCUCGAAACAGAGCCUUACCUCAGUCCCUAUCAGUCCAUUCCUAAAUCGUUCCCACAGCCUGUUCCAGAUCCAGAAUGGCUGGUAGAUAGCUGUCAUUUAUAGCCUGCACUGAGCUUCAUGUGUGAGAGGUAUACCUAUGGUGAAAUCUUAACCAAGUAUGAGUAUGAGUUGGUGAGGAGACACAUGGCAGACUGUUGGGGAGAGUUGUAAUUUGUAAGUUCUUGUGGCUGGCAAAGUGUCACUGAGUAGGCAAAAGGGUUUCCAUCUUGGGUGGCUUUUGGAAUCACUUGGGCAUGAAUUUGAAGACUCAGAUGCCUUGGAUUCUUCUUGAAAAUUCCAAUUGAACACAUGUGGGCAUAGCAUCUAGAAGCAUGUUUUUCACAGCACCAGGGGAGUCUAAAGUGUAGCUGAGGCUUUGGAGUCACUAAAGUAAAAAUACUGUAAAAGUUCCCUGCAAUAAAUUGGCAUUUCCCAAGGGGCAGUUCUUAUAAGAUUGGAGAUGUGAAACUAGGCUAGGAAACAUGGGCUUGGCUUUCUAACCCUGAAUUAUAUUGUGAAAGAGCUCCCCUAUAACUUGUUAUCAGCCAUAGCUAGGUGAGGGGAAAGUCUCAACAUGGUGACAUCAGGCCUUUAACUCCCAACUUUUGUUUCUUUUUUUAUUGGAUAUUUUGUAUUUACAUUUCAAGUAUUAUCCCCUUUCUUGGUUUCCUGCCCAUAAACCCUCUGUCCCAUUCCCCCCUCCUCCUUCUUCUAUGAGGGUAUUCCCCCACCCAUACCUGGUUUAGACAAUGGUAUAUGUUGAGAAUUGUUGUGCAUCUGUUUCAAUGAUCUCUGUAUCUGAUUAAUGAUGAAGACCUACUUUUUAUACUAUGGCUAUAUCAUUUUACCUGUAGAAGUCACCUUGUUUACAGUGAAACCAUCUGAAGAGCUUAAAGGAUACUGAUCUUGGUAGUCCAUUCUGGAAUUGGGAUUCUUCAAAGCUCUCCAAGGGUGAGGAACAAUUGGUUUAAAGUAUGUCAAUGUAAGGCUACUGUGGAUUUAGUGAGUAUAGGAAUCACAUGGGAAUGUCUUUAAAAUCCAGAUGUUUUGUCACUUGACUUUGGGUCUGUGGUUAAUAGUUCUAAAUUUCCUAAAAGCUUGCAGGUGAGGCAGAUGUUGCUGACAGCUGCAAAGUCUUAGUAGGAACAGAUUCUGUAAGAAACUGCAUCCUAAGCCUUCUGAGAAGAUAAACAACAGGAUCUGGGUAAACAGCCCUUACAUAUAUAUGAGGAUGGAAGUUCAAGCCCCAGGAGCCAUGCAAAAUGCCAGUUCUGAAAUGCAGCUCUGCCUGAUUUCAUCAAACACACAAAUUGGGUCAUGAAGAGGAACCACAGGGUAUUAUGCCUGGAUGAUUUCAGAUUCCUCAUUAAUGGGAUUGGAGGAUGACUGUAGCCUAAAUAUCAAGUUUGUAUGAGGAAAAGGCUAAUGGGACCAAACUGCUAAUUCAGGACCAAGAGCAUGGAGUGCCAAUGACAACAUGUCAAGGUGGCCUGCUGAAGGGGCUUUUGGAAGCAGGCAGGCCUGGACUUAAAUACCAACUCAUGAGUUACUCAUUGUCAUCUUGAGUAAAUUUAAUUUAAUUUC